AAAUGUUCUCAAAAUUUUUGGUUUGGAUACAAAAAACCAAGUGAAAAUGAUACUGGAAAGACUGUUUACCGUUUAACUCCUUUCCCAGUCUAACCUAGUGGGUUCAAAAAGAAGGGAACGCGCUGGAAACAUGAGUGGAUUAAAAGGAUCAGCCCUUUUUGAAUUAAAAAUCAAAGUGAUAACCAGUUAGAAGUCGUAACCUGCUCGUAUGAAAGGAUUUCUCGACGUGAAAUUGUUAAUUUUAUUCAACAACGCCAAGAAACAGAGCUCGCUCAAGAAACAGAAAAGAAAAAAAAAGAUGAAAAAAAUUCUGUUGAACAA